rnacentral:rRNA from 1 species
GAUGAACGCUGGCGGCGUGCCUAAUACAUGCAAGUCGAGCGAACGGACGAGAAGCUUGCUUCUCUGAUGUUAGCGGCGGACGGGUGAGUAACACGUGGAUAACCUACCUAUAAGACUGGGAUAACUUCGGGAAACCGGAGCUAAUACCGGAUGAUAUUUUGAACCGCAUGGUUCAAAAGUGAAAGACGGUCUUGCUGUCACUUAUAGAUGGAUCCGCGCUGCAUUAGCUAGUUGGUAAGGUAACGGCUUACCAAGGCAACGGUGCAUAGCCGACCUGAGAGGGUGAUCGGCCACACUGGAACUGAGACACGGUCCAGACUCCUACGGGAGGCAGCAGUAGGGAAUCUUCCGCAAUGGGCGAAAGCCUGGCGGAGCAACGCCGCGUGAGUGAUGAAGGUCUUCGGAUCGUAAAACUCUGUUAUUAGGGAAGAACAUAUGUGUAAGUAACUGUGCACAUCUUGACGGUACCUAAUCAGAAAGCCACGGCUAACUACGUG